rnacentral:rRNA from 1 species
UACGUAGGGUGCGAGCGUUGUCCGGAAUUACUGGGCGUAAAGGGCUCGUAGGCGGCCAACUAAGUCGGACGUGAAAUCCCCAGGCUCAACCUGGGAACUGCGUCUGAUACUGGAUGGCUUGAAUCCGGGAGAGGGAUGCAGAAUUCCAGGUGUAGCGGUGAAAUGCGUAGAUAUCUGGAGGAAUACCGGUGGCGAAGGCGGCAUCCUGGACCGGCAUUGACGCUGAGGAGCGAAAGCCAGGGGAGCAAACGGG